rnacentral:lncRNA from 1 species
UUUUUCUAUUACAUUACGAAAUAAUGAAUUGAGUUCGUAUAGGCAUUUUGGAUGCUUCUAGUGAAAUAGCCCUUCUGGCUAUAUUUUCUGUUACUCCACCCAUUUCAUAAAGUAUUUGCCCCUGUUUAACAACAGCUACCCAAUAUUCAGGGGAUCCUUUUCCUGAACCCAUACGGGUUUCUGCCGGUCUUAAUGUAACUGGUUUGUCUGGAAAUAUACGUACCCAUAUUUUUCCACCACGACGUGCAUUUCGUGUCAUUGCCCGUCGGCCUACUUCUAUUUGUCGAGAUGUAAUCCAAGCAGGUUCAAGUGCCUGAAGAGCAUAUUUACCGAAAGAAAUACGAUUACCUCGAUAAGAUAUUCCCUUCAUUCUGCCUCUAUGUUGUUUACGGAAUCUGGUUCUUUUGGGGUUAUAGUUGAUGGUUGGUUCUGAAUUCCAUCUCUACUACAGAACCGGACGUGAGAGUUUCUUCUCAUCCAGCUCCCCGCAAAUAAAAGGAUUCAAAAAAAUUCUAUUUGAAUUAAGCUAGAAUAGUAAAUCUUAAGUUAAGAUAUAUAAGAUAUGUAUUUACUGAGUAAUACCUUGAACGUGGGCUUCUUUGAGAUUUCAUUAAAUCUAUUAGUAAUUGGUAUAUCUUGUUUGAAUAGAUAACUAAACUUUGUACUUUUCUAAAGAGAAAUAAAAAAAAUUGUAUUAUUAUACCAAAUCCUUAUUUUGUCCUUUAUUGUAUUGUCCUAAAUUUUGCAAUAAAAAAGUUUUCGCUGGCGAAUAUUUACUCUUUCAAUCCCUAUUUCAUUUGCAGGGUUAACUCGUGACUUCUCAAAUCUCAGAAUACAUGAACUAAUCUAUGGUUCGUUCCGCCAUCCCGACCAGUGAAUCAUUAAGAUUCCUUUUUCAAUAGAAUCUUUUGCAUUCACAAGUUCCGUCGUUCCAAUCACUUCUUACUUAAUGGUUAGGUCCGAAUUCUUCAAUGGAGCUCAGAAUCAAAUUGUUUCUUGAGUCAAUCUUCUUUGUCUUUAUUGGAUCGAAGCUCUUGAUUUUUUGUUCUAUUUCUAUAAGAAGAUUCUUUUUAGUAUGGUAUGGAUGCGUAUUGAUGCUUUAUUACACUGUCUUUUAUGAGAUUACUCAUAGACCUUACAUAUUGGAAUUUUAUAUCAUUGGUAUUCUUUUUCUCUCUUUCUCUCAUCCUUCCCUUUAUCCACAUCUUUUUUGUCUAUUUUUCUUUACAACUUAGAAGCAGAUUUUUUUGUUUAUGCAAAAGAUUUCAGUUGCUACAAAGAUAUGACCUAUAUAUCAUAUCUUGACUGGUUCUUUAGAUCCAGAUAAUGCGAAGUGAUGGGUUGGUUAUUAGUUCUAUAGUUUUUAGUUCAUACUAUGUGGGCUGGGUUUUUGUAAUCCUAACCCUAACAAAACCUACGAGUCACACGCUAAGCAUAGCAAUUAUAUCAAAUGGUCAAUCGAAUUUUUAUUCAACCUUAUAGAAUUAAGAAUU